rnacentral:rRNA from 1 species
AUUGAACGCUGGCGGCAGGCUUAAUACAUGCAAGUCGAGGGGCAGCAUGACUGUAGCAAUACAGUUGAUGGCGACCGGCAAACGGGUGCGGAACACGUACAGAACCUUCCUUCGAGCGGGGAAUAGCCCAGAGAAAUUUGGAUUAAUACCCCAUAGUACAACGGAGUGGCAUCACUUUGUUGUUAAAGAUUUAUCACUUGAAGAUGGCUGUGCGGCUGAUUAGGUAGUUGGCGGGGUAACGGCCCACCAAGCCUGCGAUCAGUAACUGGUGUGAGAACACGACCAGUCGCACGGGCACUGAGACACGGGCCCGACUCCUACGGGAGGCAGCAGUAAGGAAUAUUGGUCAAUGGACGAAAGUCUGAACCAGCCAUGCCGCGUGGAGGAUGAAGGUCCUCUGGAUUGUAAACUUCUUUUAUAUGGGACGAAAAAAGGGUUUUCUAACUCGUCUGACGGUACCAUAUGAAUAAGCACCGGCUAACUCCGUGCCAGCAGCCGCCGUAAAAC